rnacentral:tRNA from 1 species
GGAGAGAUGGCUCAGUGGUUAAGAUCACUGACUGCUCUUCCAGAGGUCCUGAGUUCAAUUCCCAGCAACCACA